GAUGAACGCUGGCGGCGUGCCUAACACAUGCAAGUCGAACGAAGCGGUUCAGCGGAAGUUUUCGGAUGGAAGCUGAACUGACUGAGUGGCGGACGGGUGAGUAACGCGUGGGUAACCUGCCUUGUACUGGGGGACAACAGUUAGAAAUGACUGCUAAUACCGCAUAAGCGCACAGCUUCGCAUGAAGCGGUGUGAAAAACUCCGGUGGUACAAGAUGGACCCGCGUCUGAUUAGCUAGUUGGUAAGGUAACGGCUUACCAAGGCGACGAUCAGUAGCCGACCUGAGAGGUUAACCCCCCACACUGGUACUGAGACACGGACCAGACUCCUACGGGAGGCAGCAGUGAGGAAUAUUGGUCAAUGGACGCAAGUCUGAACCAGCCAUGCCGCGUGCAGGAUGACGGCUCUAUGAGUUGUAAACUGCUUUUGUACGAGGGUAAACGCAGAUACGUGUAUCUGUCUGAAAGUAUCGUACGAAUAAGGAUCGGCUAACUCCGUGCCAGCAGCCGCGGUAAUACGGAGGAUUCAAGCGUUAUCCGGAUUUAUUGGGUUUAAAGGGUGCGUAGGCGGUUUGAUAAGUUAGAGGUGAAAUUUCGGGGCUCAACCCUGAACGUGCCUCUAAUACUGUUGAGCUAGAGAGUAGUUGCGGUAGGCGGAAUGUAUGGUGUAGCGGUGAAAUGCUUAGAGAUCAUACAGAACACCGAUUGCGAAGGCAGCUUACCAAACUAUAUCUGACGUUGAGGCACGAAAGCGUGGGGAGCAAACAGGAUUAGAUACCCUGGUAGUCCACGCAGUAAACGAUGAUAACUCGUUGUCGGCGAUACACAGUCGGUGACUAAGCGAAAGCGAUAAGUUAUCCACCUGGGGAGUACGUUCGCAAGAAUGAAACUCAAAGGAAUUGACGGGGGCCCGCACAAGCGGAGGAACAUGUGGUUUAAUUCGAUGAUACGCGAGGAACCUUACCCGGGCUUGAAAGUUAGCGACGAUUCUUGAAAGAGGAUUUCCCUUCGGGGCGCGAAACUAGGUGCUGCAUGGUUGUCGUCAGCUCGUGCCGUGAGGUGUCGGGUUAAGUCCCAUAACGAGCGCAACCCCUACCGUUAGUUGCCAUCAGGUGAAGCUGGGCACUCUGGCGGGACUGCCGGUGUAAGCCGAGAGGAAGGUGGGGAUGACGUCAAAUCAGCACGGCCCUUACGUCCGGGGCUACACACGUGUUACAAUGGUAGGUACAGAGGGCAGCUACCCAGCGAUGGGAUGCGAAUCUCGAAAGCCUAUCUCAGUUCGGAUUGGAGGCUGAAACCCGCCUCCUUGAAGUUGGAUUCGCUAGUAAUCGCGCAUUCAGCCAUGGCGCGGUGAAAUACGUUCCCGGGCCU
rnacentral:rRNA from 1 species